UGGGGAAUAUUGGACAAUGGGCGAAAGCCUGAUCCAGCCAUGCCGCGUGUGUGAAGAAGGCCUUUUGGUUGUAAAGCACUUUAAGCGAGGAGGAGGCUACUUGGAUUAAUACUCUAGGAUAGUGGACGUUACUCGCAGAAUAAGCACCGGCUAACUCUGUGCCAGCAGCCGCGGUAAUACAGAGGGUGCGAGCGUUAAUCGGAUUUACUGGGCGUAAAGCGUGCGUAGGCGGCUUUUUAAGUCGGAUGUGAAAUCCCUGAGCUUAACUUAGGAAUUGCAUUCGAUACUGGGAAGCUAGAGUAUGGGAGAGGAUGGUAGAAUUCCAGGUGUAGCGGUGAAAUGCGUAGAGAUCUGGAGGAAUACCGAUGGCGAAGGCAGCCAUCUGGCCUAAUACUGACGCUGAGGUACGAAAGCAUGGGGAGCAAACAGGAUUAGAUACCCUGGUAGUCCAUGCCGUAAACGAUGUCUACUAGCCGUUGGGGCCUUUGAGGCUUUAGUGGCGCAGCUAACGCGAUAAGUAGACCGCCUGGGGAGUACGGACGCAAGACUAA
rnacentral:rRNA from 1 species